AGUGAACGCUGGCGGUAGGCCUAACACAUGCAAGUCGGACGGCAGCACAGUAAGAGCUUGCUCUUACGGGUGGCGAGUGGCGGACGGGUGAGGAAUACAUCGGAAUCUACUUUUUCGUGGGGGAUAACGUAGGGAAACUUACGCUAAUACCGCAUACGACCUACGGGUGAAAGCAGGGGAUCUUCGGACCUUGCGCGAUUGAAUGAGCCGAUGUCGGAUUAGCUAGUUGGCGGGGUAAAGGCCCACCAAGGCGACGAUCCGUAGCUGGUCUGAGAGGAUGAUCCGCCACACUGGAACUGAGACACGGUCCAGACUCCUACGGGAGGCAGCAGUGGGGAAUAUUGGACAAUGGGCGCAAGCCUGAUCCAGCCAUACCGCGUGGGUGAAGAAGGCCUUCGGGUUGUAAAGCCCUUUUGUUGGGAAAGAAAAGCAGCAGGUUAAUACCCCGCUGUUCUGACGGUACCCAAAGAAUAAGCACCGGCUAACUUCGU
rnacentral:rRNA from 1 species